GGAGGUAUAGCUCAAAUGGUAGAGCACAUGCUUAACAUACACAAGGUCCUGGGUUCAAUCCCCAAUACCACCU
rnacentral:tRNA from 1 species